rnacentral:rRNA from 1 species
AGGAAGGCAGCAGGCGCGCAAAUUACCCAAUCCUAAUACAGGGAGGUAGUGACAAGAAAUAACAAUUCAGGACUUUUUGGUUUUGUAAUUGGAAUGAGUUAAGUAUAAACCCCUUUACAAGUAUCAAUUGGAGGGCAAGUCUGGUGCCAGCAGCCGCGGUAAUUCCAGCUCCAAUAGCGUAUAUUAAAGUUGUUGCAGUUAAAAAGCUCGUAGUUGGAUUUCUGUUAAUAAUUUAUAUAAAAUAUUUUAAUUAAUAUUUAUAUAAUAUUAACAUAAUUCAUAUUACUAUAAUUAUUUUUUAGUAUAUGAAAUUUUACUUUGAGAAAAUUAGAGUGCUUAAAGCAGGCAUAUGCCUUGAAUACUCCAGCAUGGAAUAAUAUUAAAGAUUUUUAUCUUUCUUAAUGGUUCUAUGAUAAGAAUA